rnacentral:rRNA from 1 species
UGACGACCAUAGCAAGGUGGUCCCACUCCUUCCCAUCCCGAACAGGACAGUGAAACGCCUUCGCGCCGAUGAUAGUGGAUGUACAUCUGUGAAAGUAGGUCAUCGUCAG